CUGCGGAAUGCUGUAAAUCAGGAACAAAAACAGAAGUUGCUGGAAAAGGUCAACAGGUCUGGCAGCAUCUGUGAAAAAAGAAAAAAAAAUCAGAGUUAACGUUUCGUGUCCGGUGACCCUUCCCCAGAAAAGCAACGUUCCGGCCGGUGUUUGCACGCAGGCGCAGCGUCAUUCUGACUGCCGUAAGCUGGUGAUUUUCGGUUUUGUCGGAGCUGGUAAAGGAACAAAGAAUAAGCGAUUGGGGAAACAGUGAGGGUUCAUGUAUGGGAUGGCCUUCCAGAGGAAGUACUGGGUGUGGGUACAGUUACAGCAACAGCAUUUAAAAGGCAGUUGGAUACCAGCGAUCGUUGCCAAAGCCCUGUUGCCUGUGGAGAAGGUGAUAUUUAACUUUCGUGUGCUGCUGCAGCUUGUAUGAUGAAGGUGCUCCCACAAUGCGGCCAUUUGAGAAGUUACAGAUCGUUCAUCUAGCAAUACUGAAGAGCUGAUGGUGAUAUUACAAGUGGACUUUCAGGUGGGAGUCUCCAUAAUUGUAACACCAAACUCUGACAGAAUUACUCAAUUCAUCAGGACCUGGAUAUUCACAUUGUGUAUUUCCACAAUUUUACUUCUGCACUGUUCUUAACCUUUCAUUCCCUCUGAAAGACUGAGUUACAGAUUUAUACAAUGCCUGUUCUUCCUCCCUGGCUCUCCCACCUCUCUUUCGGUAAUUUUGUGCAAACACUGACUUGAAUACCUUACCUGGAGGAUACUUAUGAAUGGAUUUGUUCUAUUGAUAAUCCAGCAUAUUCCCCAAGUGUCGCUGCACAAAUGUCCAGAGGACUUCUCAGUUUCACAGUCUGUUUUCUCUUCUGGUUUCUCACUCAUUGCACUUACUUUCUGUUUGAAAGCUUAGCCUGCAGUUAGAGAAUUCGAACUGUUCCACAUCCAGGUCUGACAGUCUCUUUAUUUAUCACAACCCAAUUAUCUCGGGAUUUUGAACAUUGAAGGAGAAAGCAGCACUCACACUUGGAGAAAUGCAAAUGAUUUGUGUGUCAAAGAGUCUGUGAAGAUUCAUCUGAAAUGUCCUAACACCAGCGCAGUGACACUGGGGAGAGACCGUGGAAAUGGGCAGAUUGCAGGAAGGAAUUUCUUCAUCCAUCCCAGCUGGAAACUGACCACCAGAGUCACACUGGAGAGAGACCAUUCACCUGCUCUGAUUGUGGAAUGGGAUUCGCUCAGUCAUCUAACCUGCUUAAACACCAGGGAGUUCACACUGGAGAGAAACCAUUCACUUGCUUGGAAUGUGGGAAAGCAUUCACUCAGACAACUCAGCUGCUGAUACACCAGCAAAUUCACACUGGAGAGAGACCAUUGGACUGUUCUGUGUGUGGGAAAGUUUUUCUGACUCGAAUUCCCCUCUGACACACCAGCAAGUUCACUCUGGGGAGAGACCAUUCGUGAGCUCUGACUGGGAAAGCAUUCACUCAGUCAUCCAAACAGUCACAAAGAACCACAGUUGAAGCAUUUUGCUAUCACUCUCAUGAUCAAAUGAACCUUAGUUUUGGGCUGUUUGUACUGAUGUUACUAAUUUACUGCUCAAUUAAAGGUGCUGGUAUUGUGAAUAAAA